rnacentral:rRNA from 1 species
GAUGAACGCUGGCGGCGUGCCUAAUACAUGCAAGUCGAGCGAACAGACGAGGAGCUUGCUCCUCUGACGUUAGCGGCGGACGUGUGAGUAACACGUGGAUAACCUACCUAUAAGACUGGGAUAACUUCGGGAAACCGGAGCUAAUACCGGAUAAUAUAUUGAACCGCAUGGUUCAAUAGUGAAAGACGGUUUUGAUGUCACUUAUAGAUGGAUCCGCGCCGCAUUAUCUAGUUGGUAAGGUAACGGCUUACCAAGGCAACGAAGCGUAGCCGACCGGAGAGGGUGAUCGGCCACACUGGAACUGAGACACGGUCCAGACUCCUACGGGAGGCAGCAGUAGGGAAUCUUCCGCAAUGGGCGAAAGCUUGACGGAGCCACGGCGCGUGAGUGAUGAAGGUCUUCGGAUCGUAAAAAUCUGUUAUUAGGGAAGAACAAAUGUGUAAGUAACUAUGCACGUCUUGACGGCACCUAAUCAGAAAGCCACGGCUAACUACGUG